AUUGAACGCUGGCGGAAUGCUUUACACAUGCAAGUCGAACGGCAGCACGGGGGCAACCCUGGUGGCGAGUGGCGAACGGGUGAGUAAUACAUCGGAACGUGCCCAGUCGUGGGGGAUAACGUAGCGAAAGUUACGCUAAUACCGCAUACGAUCUACGGAUGAAAGCGGGGGACCGUAAGGCCUCGCGCGAUCGGAGCGGCCGAUGUCAGAUUAGGUAGUUGGUGAGGUAAAGGCUCACCAAGCCGACGAUCUGUAGCUGGUCUGAGAGGACGACCAGCCACACUGGGACUGAGACACGGCCCAGACUCCUACGGGAGGCAGCAGUGGGGAAUUUUGGACAAUGGGCGCAAGCCUGAUCCAGCCAUUCCGCGUGCAGGACGAAGGCCUUCGGGCUGUAAACUGCUUUUGUACGGAACGAAAAGGCUCUGGUUAAUACCUGGGGCUCAUGACGGUACCGUAAGAAUAAGCACCGGCUAACUACGUGCCAGCAGCCGCGGUAA
rnacentral:rRNA from 1 species